CUUUUUCUCACUUUUCGUCUUCCCUCUCUUUUAUUUGUUUCGUGUACAAUUGAUUUUCAUUCCUAGAAUAUCCUACCUCUUUAAUCUCAUCUUCCUAUACGAAGAACAUAAAUUUCUCUCAUCAUUUGAAAAAAAUUCUCCAUCUCCUCUUUCUUAUGCAUUUACUAAACACUAAGUAUCCGGAUCCCUAAUUCCUUUGCCCUUGAUUUUUCCCAAUUUCUUUGCCUAACUCUCACUAGGCAUUCAUGAGGAGGUUCACAAGCGGUAUACUACGCAGUAGAAGCUCUCCACCCUGACGAUGACUUGGUUGUUCGACUCUGAUUGAUUCCGCUGUGUAGGCGUCGUCUGCCUUGGAGUGCUUGUUAGCCGCGAGGGAGAAUCCGAGCCAGGUGUUGAUGUCGGGGGCGUCAUCUUCCACCACCGUCGUAGGUCUCUUCAGCCUCGAUGGUCGCCUCCUCACAGCCCGCCCUAGCCCCAAGGUUGUCGAUCUAUAGACCAUUGCAAAGAAGUUGAUUUUGGUGACUGGCGUUUAAGGAUUUGGAGGAUCGAAAAGCUUGGUGAAGAAGAUUGACAUAAAAGGCGUUAAGAAAAUGGUUGAUGAGGGAAAAUUCUUCACUUCCUUUGAAAUUGCUUAUCACUGAAGAACUUGGUUUGAAGCUUGGAAAAGUGGAUUUGGAUAUGCUUGGCACUUGCAAAGAGAAAGCAGGCUUUGUAUUUGGUCUACCUUGGAGGAGUUAUUCUAGUAUCUUCAUUUCUUUCGUGAUGCAGCUCUACGGAACACCAUCUGCUGAAUUGGGCAUGCUAUUCUUCAGGCUCUGACUCGGUACUUCCAGACUCAGAGUAUGAUCUUUCCCAUGGUUUUCAGCUCAAUUACCUCACUGUGUUUGCAUGUUCCUAUUUGUUGGGGUCUGGUUUUUACGUUGGGCUUAGGACACGUUAGAGCUGCGUUAGCCAUUGGAGUUUCUUAUUGGUUAAGUGUGGUUUGGCUUGCAAUAUACAUACUUUACUUCCCGGCUUGUCAAAAAACCAAGAUUGUGUUUUCUUGUAGUGCUUUACUUUGCAUUCCAGAUUUCUUGAAAUUAGUUAUCCCUUCAGGACUCAUGUUUUGGUAAAUAUGACUUUGCAUCAAUGCUUUUUCUUCAUCUAUUUUUCUUCUCUGCUAAUUGCGUUUUUCAUUACUCUCUGCAAUUUUGAAUGGUGGUCUUUUGAGGUGCUAACUUUACUUGUAGGGCUUUUGCCUAAUCCCCAACUUGAAACCGCAGUACUCUUAGUCUGGUGGGUGGAAUCAAUUUCUCCUCCUUUAAUAACUCUGAUGUCACCCAUGCAGCCUUAACGCUACUACCUUACACUACUUCGUUCCUUACGCUGUUGGAGCUUCUACAAGGUUCAGUUGUUUUCAUGUUGUGUUGAGCCUUAUGAAGGUUAAGUUUAAGCUUGAGUAAAUAAAACCCUGUCUUUCAGUGAGUAAUUCUUGAACAGAAAGCGAAUCUUUGUCAUCAAGAACAUACUUUGUAAUUUGUGGUGUUUGUUUUGCAGCACUCGGGUUUCAAAUAAACUAGGUGCAGGAAAUCCAAAAACAACCAAAGGUGUUGUGCGUGUGGUUGUGAUUCUUGUGGUUGCAGAGGCAGUUAUUGUGAGCACAGUGUUCUUCAGUUGCCGACAUAUAUUAGUAUACGCAUAUACGCAUAUAGCAAUGACAUAUAUUGCCAACAUUAUUUGGCUGCCAUUGCUGCAUACUAUGCCAGGGAGGUGGAGGCGGGGUUGAUGGAGUACAAGCCAAAUAUAAUCAUCAACGUCCAUCCCUUGAUGCAGCAUAUUCCAUUGUGGGUUUUGAAAUAUUGAUCAGAGGGCUGGACCAGGUACGAUAGCGGAAGCAUUGAUCAGAGGACUUCCCAUAAUUCUCGACAACUAUAUCCCAAGACAGGAGAAGGGUAACGUGUCGUACGUGGUUGACAAUGAAGCUGGUGUGUUCACGCGUAGUCCUAAGGAAACAACAAAAAUGGUGGCAGAAUGGUUCACCACGAAAUCAGAUGAGCUGAAAAGAAUGUCAGAGAAAGCACUUAAAUUAGCACAACCAGAGGCGGUGUUUGACAUCAUGAGGGACAUUGAUGAACUUGCUAGGCAACGAGAGCCACCAAAUCUUACUAGCCUAAUUUAAUUCAUUAUUUGUGCUUCUUUCAUGGUAGCUUUCUUCCAUUUAGAAUUCACUUGUACAGUUAGCUCUAUUUAUUUAUAUCAUUCUUUAUCUAUGCUAAGAUUCAAUUGUAGUAAACAAGUAUGCUUGUGUGGUUGUGAGGAGAUGCUUUGCCUAUAACUGCAAGAAUGUUUGAAUUCUACACUA